GUUUGAUCGGCCACAUUGGGACUGAGACACGGCCCAAACUCCUACGGGAGGCAGCAGUAGGGAAUCUUCCACAAUGGACGAAAGUCUGAUGGAGCAACGCCGCGUGAAUGAAGAAGGCCUUCGGGUCGUAAAAUUCUGUUGUCAGAGAAGAAUGUGCGUGAGAGUAACUGUUCACGUAUUGACGGUAUCUGACCAGAAAGCCACGGCUAACUACGUGCCAGCAGCCGCGGUAAUACGUAGGUGGCAAGCGUUGUCCGGAUUUAUUGGGCGUAAAGGGAACGCAGGCGGUCUUUUAAGUCUGAUGUGAAAGCCUUCGGCUUAACCGAAGUAGUGCAUUGGAAACUGGAAGACUUGAGUGCAGAAGAGGAGAGUGGAACUCCAUGUGUAGCGGUGAAAUGCGUAGAUAUAUGGAAGAACACCAGUGGCGAAAGCGGCUCUCUGGUCUGUAACUGACGCUGAGGUUCGAAAGCGUGGGUAGCAAACAGGAUUAGAUACCCUGGUAGUCCACGCCGUAAACGAUGAGUGCUAAGUGUUGGAGGGCUUCCGCCCUUCAGUGCUGCAACUAACGCAUUAAGCACUCCGCCUGGGGAGUACGGUCGCAAGACUGAAACUCAAAGGAAUUGACGGGGGCCCGCACAAGCGGUGGAGCAUGUGGUUUAAUUCGAAGCAACGCGAAGAACCUUACCAGGUCUUGACAUCUUCUGACAAUUCCAGAGAUGGAACGUUCCCUUCGGGGACAGAAUGACAGGUGGUGCAUGGUUGUCGUCAGCUCGUGUCGUGAGAUGUUGGGUUAAGUCCCGCAACGAGCGCAACCCUUAUUGUCAGUUGCCAUCAUUAAGUUGGGCACUCUGGCGAGACUGCCGGUGACAAACCGGAGGAAGGUGGGGAUGACGUCAAAUCAUCAUGCCCCUUAUGACCUGGGCUACACACGUGCUACAAUGGACGGUACAACGAGUCGCUAACUCGCGAGGGCAAGCUAAUCUCUUAAAGCCGUUCUCAGUUCGGAUUGCAGGCUGCAACUCGCCUGCAUGAAGUCGGAAUCGCUAGUAAUCGCGAAUCAGCAUGUCGCGGUGAAUACGUUCCCGGGCCUUGUACACACCGCCCGUCACACCAUGAGAGUUUGUAACACCCAAAGUCGGUGGGGUAACCUUUUGGAGCCAGCCGCCUAAGGUGGGACAGAUGAUUGGGGUGAAGUCGUAACAAGGUA
rnacentral:rRNA from 1 species